rnacentral:rRNA from 1 species
CCUACGGGAGGCAGCAGUGAGGAAUAUUUGUCAAUGGGCGCGAGCCUGAACCAGCCACGUCGCGUGAAGGAUGACUACCCUACGGGUUGUAAACUUCUUUUAUAAAGGAAUAAAGUGAGGCACGUGUGCCUUUUUGUAUGUCCUUUAUGAAUAAGGAUCGCCUAAAUCCAUGCCAGCAGCUGCGGUAAUACGGAGGAUCCGCACGUUAUCCGGAUUGAUUGGGUUUAAAGGGAGGGUAGGUGGGUUGUUAAGUCAGUUGUGAAAGGUUGCGGCUCAAACGUCACAUUGCAAUUGAUACUGGCAGACUUGAGUAAAGUAGAGGUGGGCGGAAUUCGUGGUGUAGCGGUGAAAUGCUUAGAUAUCACGAAGAACUCCGAUUGCGAAGGCAGCUUACUAAACUGCAACUGACAUUGAUGCUCGAAAGUGUGGGUAUCAAACAGGAUUAGAUACCCGAGUAGUC